UACGUAGGUGGCAAGCGUUGUCCGGAUUUACUGGGCGUAAAGAGCGCGCAGGCGGUCGAAUAAGUCGAAUGUGAAAGCCCCCGGCUUAACUGGGGAGGGUCAUUCGAUACUGCUCGACUUGAAGGCAGGAGAGGGUAGUGGAAUUCCCGGUGUAGUGGUGAAAUGCGUAGAUAUCGGGAGGAACACCAGUGGCGAAGGCGACUACCUGGCCUGUUCUUGACGCUGAGGCGCGAAAGCUAGGGGAGCAAACGGGG
rnacentral:rRNA from 1 species